rnacentral:lncRNA from 1 species
GGAAGCGAAGCCGGAGCUGCGGGCGCUUUUUCUGCCCGCGGUGUCUCAGAUUCAUUCUUAAGGAACUGAGAACUUAAUCUUCCAAAAUGUCAAAAAGACCAUCUUAUGCCCCACCUCCCACCCCAGCUCCUGCAACAUAAUAUACACUUCUUUCAUGCCUUUGAUACUUCAACUGUGUUUUGCCUACUUAAAUAUGCUUUAUUUGCGUCUUUUCUAACUGUAUAGACUAGAAAUUGAUCAGCCGUUCUCUUUUCUCCUAAAGAGUAUCAAAUGUAAUAUCUGCUUAAAUGUCUUUCUUUUGGGUACUAAGGAUAUGUGCAGCGGCAUGUUUUAGGAAAUUGUGUUUAUUUUGUAACAGCUACAGCUUAGUUGGAAUGUGUUAAGUGUAUUUUACAUUAUACAAUUAAGGACCGAUAUUGUUAAUUGCAUGUAAAAAUGAAAUUGUCACAUAUUUUGAUUGAAUUUUACAAGGUAAAAUACCCUAAUUUUG